rnacentral:rRNA from 1 species
CCUACGGGUGGCUGCAGUGAGGAAUAUUGGACAAUGGUCGGAACCCUGAUGCAGCGAAGCCGCGUGAGUGAAGAAGUUUUUCGGUAUGGAAAGCUCCAUCAGCCGGGGAGAUAAUGACGGUACCUGCCUACGGAUCCGCGUCUAACUACGAGCCAGCAGCCGCGGCACUACGUAGGGGGCAGGCGUUAUCCGGAUGUACCGGGUGUAAGGGGGGCGUAGGUGGCAGGGCAAGUCAGAUGUGAAGGCCCGGGGAUCAACCCCGGGACUGCAUUUGAAACUGUCAAGCUGGAGUGAAGGAGAGGUAAGCGGAAUGCCUAGUGUAGCGGUGAAAUGCGUAGAUAUUAGGAAGAACACCAGUGGCGAAGGCGGCUUGCUGGACAGUAACUGACGUUGAGGCUCGAAAGCGUGGGGAGCAAACAGGAUUAGAUACCCCAGUAGUC